rnacentral:rRNA from 1 species
AGUGAACGCUGGCGGCGUGCCUAAUACAUGCAAGUCGAACGGAGUGGCGAACGGGUGAGUAAUGUAUAGCUAAUCUUCCCUACACUAUAGGACAACAGUUGGAAACGGCUGCUAAUACUCUAUAGUGUAGGAUGAGGCUAUAUUGUAUCAGCUAGUUGGUGAGGUAAUGGCUCACCAAGGCUAUGACGCAUAACUGGUCUGAGGGGAUGAUCAGUCACACGGGAACUGAGGCACGGUCAAGACGCCUACGGGAGGCAGCAGUAGGGAAUACUGCUCAAUGGGGGAAACUCUGAAGCAGCAUCGGAGCGUGGAGGAGGACACUUUGCGGAGCGUAAACUCCUUUUGUUAGGGAAGCGGUACCUAACGAAUAAGCACCGGCUAACUCCGUGCCAGCAGCCGCGGUAAUAC